rnacentral:rRNA from 1 species
UGCAAGUCGAGCGGUAGAGAGAAGCUUGCUUCUCUUGAGAGCGGCGGACGGGUGAGUAAUGCCUAGGAAUCUGCCUGGUAGUGGGGGAUAACGUUCGGAAACGGACGCUAAUACCGCAUACGUCCUACGGGAGAAAGCAGGGGACCUUCGGGCCUUGCGCUAUCAGAUGAGCCUAGGUCGGAUUAGCUAGUUGGUGAGGUAAUGGCUCACCAAGGCGACGAUCCGUAACUGGUCUGAGAGGAUGAUCAGUCACACUGGAACUGAGACACGGUCCAGACUCCUACGGGAGGCAGCAGUGGGGAAUAUUGGACAAUGGGCGAAAGCCUGAUCCAGCCAUGCCGCGUGUGUGAAGAAGGCCUUCGGGUUGUAAAGCUCUUUUGUCAGGGAAGAAAAGGGAUUGGCUAAUAUCUAGUCCUCAUGACGGUACCUGAAAAAUAAGCACCGGCUAACUACGUGCCAGCAGCCGCGGUAAUACGUAGGGUGCAAGCGUUAAUUGGAAUUACUGGGCGUAAAGCGUGCGCAGGCGGUUUUGUAAGACUGUCGUGAAAUCCCCGGGCUCAACCUGGGAAUGGCGAUGGUGACUGCAAGGCUAGAGUUUGGCAGAGGGGGGUAGAAUUCCACGUGUAGCAGUGAAAUGCGUAGAUAUGUGGAGGAACACCGAUGGCGAAGGCAGCCCCCUGGGUCAAAACUGACGCUCAUGCACGAAAGCGUGGGGAGCAAACAGGAUUAGAUACCCUGGUAGUCCACGCCGUAAACGAUGUCAACUAGCCGUUGGAAGCCUUGAGCUUUUAGUGGCGCAGCUAACGCA